GUCUACGGCCAUGCCACCCUUAAUGUGCCCGAUCUCGUUUUAUCUCAGAAGCUAAGCAGGGUUGGGCUUGGUUAGUAGCUGGAUAGGAGACCACCUAAGAAAACCAGGUGCUACAGGCG
rnacentral:rRNA from 1 species